UUUUCUUUGAACAGUCGUCCAAGAGGUGUGAUUUCUACUCCUGUUAUAAGGACCUUUGGUCGAGGAACCAAAUACCACACUAGAGGGUUCAAGAGUCAGGGAACAUACCAGAGCAAUCCUGCAUAUACUGCCUCAACCAAUGAAGCGCUAAAAGACAGAAAGAAGCCGAAGUUGGAGACCAAAACACCACAUCUGCCCUUAGAAGGGUCCACAGCUGCAGAGAAUGGCUUGGUGGAGGGUAAAGAAGCAGACCAGCUCAAUGGGAACGAAGGGGAAAGCAGAGCUACAAACCAACCUGAAAGUGCCUUUAGCAACGAAUCUAAAAUGUGCAAUACUAAUCCUCAUUUAAAUGCACUAAAUGAAGACGGCGAGGGCCGCAGAGAUGAAGCUCUGGGCGCAGCUGUCUUAAAAACAGAAGAGUAAACCUAUUUUUAUAGAGAGGGUGAAGGCUGAUGGAAGGUUACGUGUUAAGGAAUAUCUGGAAGGAUGGAGGGCCUACAGUUGGUGUAAAUUUUUUCCUCUCCGAAAGCGAUAAAUGAGGACUUACGAAUUUUUUAAAUCCCUCUUCGAUGUCAGUGAGUUUAAACCACAAAGUAAUGAUGAGGAAACCUCUCGGUAAAACGUAGAUAUACAAGUCAUACAGAGAAUCUUACCAGUUUAAUGAUGAAAGACGGGGUUCUCCCUCGUCAAUGAUAUUACGUGUUUCAAAACUGGUUACAUGAAAUUAUUUUACUUUCUCGAUGAAAUGCAGAAACCGAAAAAUACCGAUUUUCAUUUGCCAGUCUUUUAGUUUUAGUAAGUUGAGAUUCAAGUACCAUAUAUACAGUAUAUUUGCCAUUGUAACUGGGUUUGUAUCGUCACAGUAAAUGCUUCUUUAUUUUUUGAAAACGUAAAACUCACAAUUUGAAAAAGACAAAACCAAGAACGCAUUUCUCAUCACUGUGAGUUUACUUGUUUCAAAUGUGCGAUUGUUUUGACAUUGGGUAACUAGUAUUACUACUGCAUCUUAAGUUCUGAUGAUUUCAAUAUGUCAUACAUUAGCAAUUAUAGGUAAUAUGUCAAGAAAUGGUUAGAAAAAUCUGAGCUCUUGAAAAAAACAAAACAAUGUCUCUUUCCAUGUCAGAAAAUGCCAUGCAUCAGAGAUCAACGAUCAGUGUGGUUUCUUUAAUCAAACGUAGCACAUUAGUAUAACUGUCUCAGCUAAACUGCAUGGCUCACGAUUAAACAAAAAAAAACAAAAAAAAAACAAAAUGGUGUGUAGUUAUAAUGCAUGUUGCCCUGUUUCUUCUUCAUUACAAAUACCGUGCCCAUCUGCAAAAUUUAAAAAGGGUGAUAAUCAUUAAUAGUCCUAUAAAAGGUGUUAACUGUUAGUCAGUAACUGAUUUGCGCUAACCUUAAGUUUAUUAUUUUUGUGAUUUAUUGACCUCUGUUGUAUUUACUCCAACAUUAUCUAGCCACUUUAAAUUUUGUUAAUCCUGGUGUACUCAUCACUGUAUACAUUAUUAUUCUCUGUUGCUGCUUUCUGCAUUCAUACUAUCAGAUCAUCUCUGAAAAAAAAAGGCUUUGA